rnacentral:rRNA from 1 species
AUUGAACGCUGGCGGCAGGCUUAACACAUGCAAGUCGAGCGGGGUGAUGGUGCUUGCACUAUCACUUAGCGGCGGCCGGGUGAGUAAUGCUUAGGAAUCUGACUAUUAGUGGGGGACAACAUCCCGAAAGGGAUGCUAAUACCGCAUACGUCCUACGGGAGAAAGCAGGGGAUCACUUGUGACCUUGCGCUAAUAGAUGAGCCUAAGUCGGAUUAGCUAGUUGGUGGGGUAAAGGCCUACCAAGGCGACGAUCUGUAGCGGGUCUGAGAGGAUGAGCCGCCACACUGGGACUGAGGCACGGCCCAGACUCCUACGGGAGGCAGCAGUGGGGAAUAUUGGACAAUGGGGGGAACCCUGAUCCAGCCAUGCCGCGUGUGUGAAGAAGGCCUUAUGGUUGUAAAGCACUUUAAGCGAGGAGGAGGCUCUUUUGGUUAAUACCCAAGAUGAGUGGACGUUACUCGCAGAAUAAGCACCGGCUAACUCUGUGCCAGCAGCCGCGGUAA